CAAAAUAAAAUUUAUAAAUCAUUAAAUUUAUUUCAAAUUUCGUGAGCCAUAUAUUGAACGAACAUCCAAAGAUGCUCCUACAUGUUCCUCCUAGUAAUUACAAAUGACAGAAACGUUCAACAACUUAACCCCAAGUCUUCACUUUAGCACCCACACCCCAAUUUCUCUCUCUCAUAACGUUUAUUAUAUUUGAUUCCGACUUUUUUCUCAGUUUCAUCAAUCACUAGCAACCCACAAUCAUCCAAAAAAAAAAAGGAGCAGAUUGGUGUGACAAGACUUGAAGGAAGGAAGACAUACAACACGCUCGCAUCAAAAUUGCUAAAGUUCCAACAAAUCACACAAAAACAGAAACAAGUUUGAAAGCAAGAAAAUAAAACACAUCUUAUGCGAGGAAAGCCAAUUGAAGAAAAAAGAAGAGAAAAGAUUGAGAAGGGUGAAAAAAGUGGUCCAGGGAAGGAAACAGUGCUGGCAAGUGCUUUUGUGGUCCUGGAGUUCAGUUGAGGAAAGCCUAAUUUAGAGGCAGGUGAAGGGGGGCAAAGGAACAUGAUAUGGUGGGAAGAGGGGGGCCUUGGUUAUGUAAUUAAGUCACACUAUACCAUGGGACAAUACUAAUUAAUUAGGUUCCAAACAUUAUUACCUUAUCCGAUCCUUUAAUUUUAUCAAAUAUCAAUUAUUCCAUCAGCUGAAUUCUAAAUUA